CUAGUUCCACCAGGGCAAAAGCAAGACCGAGGCUGGGAACCUCCUCAGGGUCAGCGAGGAGGACCCUUCCCGGCCUCCCGUGGCUUACGGAGCUCUUUCCACCAAGCUCCUGUCUCGCCACGAUUCCCUGAGAAGCCCGAGAGUCGGUGUGGAGCUCAGGACAGAACUCGGGCUGCCGGUGCCACAGCCCAUGACCAGGAAACUCACCUGCCACUUCCCUUUCCAUCCCAUGGCUUCCUUGCAAUUCCCAAACCCCUUUUGGAAGCAAAUGGGUACAGGCUAUAGAUCACAUGGACACAGGAAUCAGCCCGUGGGCACAGCCUGGCUAAUGCCCGGUAACCCGGAAAGUGCCCAGUCGGCUGUGUCCCCAGUUGCUGGCCCCUCACCGUGGGGUCUGUGCCUGGAGACGCCCCCCUCUGUCCCCCAGAACUGCAGGCUGCGGAGUCGAGGCACCUCUGCUGAGCAGACUCCAGGCCCAGGGCCCGGGGUGUGGCUUGCUCUCCUCUGCCAGCCUCUGCUCUCCAGGGCCUGCAGCUGGCCCCACCUGCACCCUGUCCACUGCAGGAAGCAGAUGCUGCUCUGGGGGACUCCUUUGGCUCCGCUGAGGCAAACCCAGUGCUCCUGGCUUCACUUCAGCGUGGUGGGGUCUUACCCCACUGUGGUCAUCCUGCCUGGGCGCAGCCAGCUGCAAACACACUGUGACCUGGGCAGCCACCCAGGGUCCUGCACAGCAGGUGCCAGCAGCUGUGUGCAGACAGCCCACCUCAGAGCCUGGUGCAGCCCAAGACCCUUCCCCUGAGGGGGGGCGACCCCGGCCUGCACCCACCCCCCACAGUACAGCACACAAACACCCACAGACCGAGACCCACCGCCUCUGGUGGCCACUGCACCUCAGGAGACAGAGGCCAGUAGCCUCCCCACCGGUUCCCACCCUCUGGGAGGAGCAGGGCCCAGCUCUGUGCCCCCACCCCGGGCUGUUUGCUAUUUUCUUGUUGUUGUUAAUCCCUUGCCAGGUGGAUCUGGCACUGUGGGGCUUAAUUAAGCUCAGCCAGCUGUUGCCGAGCGCGGGAUGACGCUCGGCAGGCAGCCUGGAGCAGCAGAGGCAGAGCAGGC
rnacentral:lncRNA from 1 species